rnacentral:rRNA from 1 species
AAACUUUCAACAACGGAUCUCUUGGUUCUGGCAUCGAUGAAGAACGCAGCGAAAUGCGAUAAGUAAUGUGAAUUGCGGAAUUCAGUGAAUCAUCGAAUCUUUGAACGCACAUUGCGCCCUCUGGUAUUCCGGGGGGCAUGCCUGUUCGAGCGUCAUU